rnacentral:sRNA from 1 species
UUUCUGUCCUUCUCAAACCCUAGCGGCCAUAACUCCAUCUCUUCCGUUUCUCUCAUCCUAGAACGGAAGAAAGAUGGAAAAUCAGGGCUCUUCCAUUUGCUUCCACAGAUUUCUCGGGCUCCGGAUCGCUAGCCUCCGUAUGAAGAUUUGUUGCCUUCGGGAAGAAAUUUUUAACCUAGAAAAGCUUGGUUUUCAGGAAAUCGUCAAUCCUAACCUGAUGCUCGGUGACCUUUAGGGCAGCUUCAUUCUCUCUUCUUCUCCAACCAUGGUUCCAGAUCCACUGGGCAUCAAGCAAAAUCACCGUUACCACCCAACAAACCCAUUAUCUGGAAUUUCAAUUACUGUGCAUGGAGGGAGUUUUCUGUGGAGGUUUAGUUGAACAUGGAGACAAUAUCCAGUUGCGUGAAGGCAGGAAUGUCUGGUAUUGCUCACCUGGAUUUCCACCUCUAUGAUUGGGAUUUCAACAACAGUAAUACUUGGUUGGGUGGGGGUCUAGACUCUUAAUUGCAGGUGAGAAAAAUAGAGAGCCAGCAAAGCUUCGUUGAGAGGAUGCACGAGUUUCCUGGGAUGGUAUUAUUCCUUCAUUUGGGUUAACACAAAUACCCAAAAAUGUAAUUGAUCGUUAUGCGGUUUGUAAGUUGGGUUUUUCUAACUGGUGGAUUAUCGAAUUGAUAAAAUUGGUCAAAUUGGUGGAGCAUGCAUGAGUUAUGGCAGCAGGAACAGAAGGGGUUAAUUGGUAUUCUACCCGUUCAAGAUGCAGCUGAGGCAGCAACAGUAGACUCUAUGUUGUUUAUCCUUUUUGUUUGUUCAUGAUUAUGUUGAAUGUUUUUCAGGUUAAAUGUGUCUUAUUCAUGUAGUUAAGGCUGAUGUAUUCAAGUCCCGCAGCAUCGCGCGGGCAUAUUACUAGUUA